UGUUUACUUGUGCUUUAAAUAAAGGAAUCUGAAAAUGUGACUACACAAAUUUGUAUUUGGACAAGAAGGAUCUGUUUAAAUCUUUCUCAAAGUUGCAUUGCAUAAAAUUUAAACCAAAAACAAAAGAAGAAAAAAAAAAAAAACAGAUGAGCUUGGUUUUUUAAAAGGCAAUGUUCUUGUUUUAUCUUUCAGCCCAAGAACUUGCCAGUCAAGAUGAAAAACUUCUUCUAAUGGAAUCCAGCUUUAAGGCUACUCAAGAGCAGCUAACAGCAAAUAGCAGAAACAGUUCGCCAAGAACAGAACAGUAGAAAACCCCAGGCAGAGCCGAAGACAGUGACAGCAGGGCUUAUUGCUUCUGAAGAAGAAAAAAAUGAUUACAAGGGAUCAUCCUGACCCAGGGAUUCAACCUGUGUCUCCUGCACUGGCAGGUGAAUUCUUUAACGAUGAGCUGGAUGAGAUGUUUACAUGGACAAAAAGAUUGAGAAGCAAAAACACAACAAGAAAGUGUAUUUUUGGCCUAGAAAAUGGUAUACAGCCUUCAUGAAUGGAAUUAGUUUUCUUAUAAAAGAGCCCUGAGAAAGCUCCCUUGCCCCUUCUAUCCUGUGAAGACAUAAGAAAAAGGCAGUUGUGUGUGAAGCAAGAAGCAGGCUUUCACAAAGCAUGAAAUCUGCCAGUGACUCCAUCUCUGAUUUCCUAGCCUCUAGAACUCUGAGAAAUAAAUUUCUGCCCUUUAUAAUCCAUUGAGUUUAUGGUGUUUUGUUAUAAUAGCCGAAAGUCACUAAGACAGGUGGAGAGAAAGAAAAGAAAAGAGAGAAAAAGUAGAAUAGCUGAUUAAAAGGAGUGAGGAAGGACUAAGUCCUCAUGCAAUAUCGACUUGAAUUUGACGAUAGAAGAAAGAUAAAGAGGACGUGGACAAGGAAGAUACAAGACUGAAAGUGGGUCAUUGAUGGGGCAAGCAUUCAGAACAUAGAGCAGACAUUUAUGAAGUAUAAAGAUAGACACUUACAAAGGUAUCUUUUACAUCUGAGAAGAUAUGAGUGAAUGAUGGGUACAGAUGUCAGGAAAAUGAGAAUAGCUUUUGAAAUAAAGUAAUCUGACAGAAUGAAUAUAGCAGGGGUUUAGAAGACUGUAAACAGGACUGUAAAAAAUGACUCAAACCAUUGAGAAUUGAGUGGAAAAUGAGAAGACAGCAUAUACUAAUGUGUAUGUGCUUAAGGAAAAUUAGACUCAUAAGAUAUUAAGGGGCAAGGAUUACUGAGCUAAAGUGAAUUUGAAAAUACCAAAUUAGCUUAUUCAACAAUUAUUUCCUUAGAUCCGGCUUUGCAGCUAACACUGAUCCUAUGUUUAAACGACAACAAAAUAACUAAAUCCUUGCCCUCAAAAAGGUUACAUUCUAGCAGGGAGUCAGAUAACAAAAGAAGAAAAAAAUUGUUCAACAAAAUUAUACAAUGAAGCCUGUAUCUUUCUUGGGUUUUAUAAUAUAUAUAUAUAUAUAUUUAUUUAUUUUAUAAAUAAAUAUGUGUAUAUAUACACUUUUUAAGAUUAUUUUCCACAUAGGUUAUUACAUAGUAUUGAAUAUAGUUCCCUGUGCUAUACAGUAGGUCCUUAUGUAUAAAUUUUCUUUGUUAUAUUAAAAAAGACUUUGUUAUUAGAGAUGAGAAAGUGCUUGAAUGGCUUAACAUCCUCCAGUUCUGGGAGUAUUUUUUCCUCAGAAAUUCAUCUCUUUGGGUUUUAUGAUUUGCAUUCCUUCUGAAGACUAGAAAAGAGAAUAUUUUAAUAUUUCUUUAUAAUAAAAGCCAUGAAAACUUUAUGACAAUGAUUGACAUAGCAAUACAAUACAUACUCAAAUCACAUUUUCACUUUUAUUUGGAAACAUCUUAUAUUUUUUUAUUCUCUUUUAAUUUUGAUGCAACUCUAAAAUCUAAAUUUCUCUUCUUUUCACCAUCCUCUUUACUGUCGAUCUCAUGGAUUCACUUACAGAGAUGAAUCUAAACUGUGAGAACCUCUGGACUAUAGCACAGAAGUAUUAAGGAUUCUCUCUCCCCCGUGCUUCUUCUGCUCCCCAUGAAGUUAAUGUAAUUUUCAUGUUAGAAUUAUUCUAUUUUUAUCAUUGUUGGCACUGAAUCUCUUUACUCUCCUGGAAGCCUGAGCUGUCUUCUCCACAGUCCGUUCAUAAAACACUUGAUCAAAGAUGGAUUCAAACUAGUGGUGACUGCUCUUUGUCUGGAUUAUUCUUGAUUUGGAUUAAGACAACAGAUAAACCAAGGCUAACUAGAUAUUUCAAGAGAGCACGGAAGAAUCUACUCAUUAAGCAAUUAAUUUAAUAUCAAAUAAUUUAAUGUCAAAGAAUGACAAAUGAUAAAUAUAGAACUUAGAAAGGGUUUAGACUUUCCUGUCACAGUCAACAGCAAAUGCUUCUAUGACAUUGUUCCUAACCUAUUCACCUAAUUGAGUCGUGCUUUCAGUUGCCAAUAUAUCUAUUGCUUGUGCUUUGUAUGUGGCUCAGUGGUAAAGAAUCUGCCUAAUGCAGGAGACUCUGGAGAUGCAAGUUCAAUCCCUGAGUCAGAAGGUCCCCUGGCAUUUCAUAGGAAAUGGCAACUCACUCUAGUAUUCUUGCCUAGGCAAUCCCAUGAACAGAGAAGCCUGGUGGGUUACAGUCUAUGGGGUCACAAAGAGUCAGACACAACUGAGUGACUAACACCCUGGAAAUGGAGUUCCAUGUAUACUUGGUAGACAUUUAACAGAGCUAAGACUCUAUGAUACUUUGAGGAAAAUUCUGAAUAUUCACUCUCUAGUGAAUUUUAAAUUUCUUAAGGUCUAAAAUGAUGUUCACAAAUAUAUUCUCAAAAUAUAAAAUAUAUAUUGAUGCAUUUGUUUAUGAAGUCCAAGAAAAGAUUUGGAAAGAUGAAAUUAAAGCUCAUUUUUUUUUCUCCAAUCAAAAUAAAUGACAAACGACACAAUAAAAAAACAAAGCACAAAGAUUGUAGGAAGUGUCUAGCUAUGAAAAUCACUACAUUUGUGCAUCUGACUUCAAUAAACUAAUACUUGGCCUAAAAUCCAGUAUGUCUGAUGCUGCAGUUUUACUUGAGAUAAGACACCUGGGGCAAACUUGAAAUAUUGCAAUGGGAAGAAAAACAUAAGGGAGAUUCACCCUGUCCCACUAUGCUAAAAAACCCUGACACAUUUGAGGUUGCAAUGGGAACACAGACUGUUUGCGGAAAGGAUUGUAACUCCACUGGCAAAAUGGACCAAAGGUGAAUUUUAAAGCCACCUCCCCCCGCCAAAUGCUGUCAAAUCAUCAACCAUUGGUAUAUUUUAGAAAACAAGUAGGCAGGGCUUUAUUUUUUUUGAAGUCCAGAUAGCGCUGUGCUGUCAUUAUGACUUAACAAGGCUGAGUUUGUUUGCUUGCGUAAAAGACUUUUCAGGAAAAUUUGCUCAUAUUUUCAAGUUACGCACUUGAAUAAAUAUACAUUGCUUUGCCUAGAUUUAUUUUCCUCCUAACAAAUUAGUCAGGCUUUCUGGUCUAAUGUCUUAUUGUAAACAACAUUUUUUUUUUUCUUUUAAACAAAGAGGAAUUUGUGAAACCUUGCCCCUGCCUCCAUAGGAAUGAAUUGAUUAUGAGGACCCCUCCUCUGCUCUCUCAUCUUCAAGAUGCUUUGUGCUGAGGGAGCAUUGAAGUUAGCUUCUGUCACAAGUGAAGAUACUUUAGGAGAGUACUACUUUCUAUGGAAUAGCUUUUAUUUUUUUUUCCUGAUGAAUCUGGAAGUCUCACUCUAAUAAAAAUUAUUUACUUAUUUAUGGCCGAACUGGGUCUAAUUGCUGCAGGCGGGCUUUCCCUUCCGUGGUAAGCAGGCGCUGCUCUUCCUUGUCACGCACAGGUUCUCAUUGCGGGGGCUUCUCUCCUUGCGGAGCAGGGCUCUAGAGUGCGGGCUCAGUAGUUGUGGCACACACAUUUCGUUGCUCCGCAUCAUGUGGGAUCUUCCCGGAUGACGGAUCAAAUCUGCUUUGGCAGGGGGAUUCUUAACCAGUGUACCACCAGAGAAGUCCUCUUCCCCGCUUUAAACAUUUUCGUGGAAGUAUAGUUGAUUUACAAUGCUGUGUUCUUUUCGGGUGCAUAGCAAAGUGAAUCAGUUAUAUACAUACGUAUAUCGACUCGUUUUUAGAUUCUUAGGAUUAUAAUGCAGAGUUGCCUGUAACGCUACUUUUAAAUUCAGCUGUGUGCUUAGACAAGCAAAGGUACCACAGUGCCAUGCCUGUAGUUAAAGAGAACUUAUACUAGCAUUUAGGAAAUAUAUAGGCACACACACACACACAAAAGAACACGAUUGAAAAAAAUAAAGAUGUCAACUUGAACUCGCAGUGUAUUUUAGCCUUAUCUAUAUAUUGGAAUUUUAAUUCAUAUUAUCUCAGUAAAAAAUUAAUACAUAUAUCAAGCAUGGAGGUUUGCAGGAUAUUCCAUCCCAUUUUUUUUAAAAAUUAUAGAGAAAUAGCAAAGAGAACUAGGGAAGGAAAUGGCAACCUACUCCAGUAAUCUUGUCUGAAAAAUUCUGUGGACAAAAGGAGCCUGGUGGGCAGUCCGUGGGCCUGCAAAGAAUCGGACAUGACUGAGAGACUGAAUACACAUACAAAAGUAUAGACAGUUUGUGAGCUUCUCCCUGUCUUGUGGUGGAUCUGAGACCACAGCACUGAUCUUCUGACAAACCUCAAUAAUCUUCUAAUUAGGAGUUCCAUUAAAUGAAAUCUGACCAUUAUAAAAAUGUCUUUACCAAAGGACUCUAUCUCCUUCUCAUAUGGCUUAGACUGAGUCUGAGAGUUGAAGUGUAGUAGACCAGCAGUAAGAAUGUGAAUUACAAAAUAAUUCCUAGCCUCAAGUGAAUAUUUCAAUUAUGAUAUUCUGCACUUGAGGUUAAAGUAAAUUUUUGCUUAUGCGAGAAAUAAAUUCCACUUAGGUAAAAUGUAGUGUAUUAUUUUUCUUCUUAUAAUUAAUAAAUGACCUUGAGGAAUCAAAAUCACCCAGUAGUAUGGAAGCACUUAUUAAUGACGAUACAUUUAUCCAAAGAAAUAUGUUUUUUUCUGAAAUGAAACCUCUUCAAGUAAGUUGUGUCACAUAGUCAAUCUGCGUCUCCUUCCCCACCUUUAAAAAUAAUAGAUCAUUAAAGUUACACAGUAAUACUCAAAGCUGAACCUGACUGGGCUAAAGAGAAAUGUUGCUUGACACUAGAGAAAGUUUGAGAUGUCUUGCCUCAAAUGUUUUUAGCUGAAUUUGACUGUUGCAGAUAAAGGAACAGAGCCCUCAAUUGCUCAUAGAGGAAGUUGACAUAGGUGAACAAAUACAUUCAUUUCAAUAGUAAUACAAGAGUGAUUCUUCAAGAUUUUUACUGGAAAUAAUUGUAAGCAAUGUGUAUGGUUAAUGCCACGCAAAAUUCACUUUGGUUUAUAAAAAAUAUUUCACAGAAAUAAAACCAACAUUGUAAAGUAAUUAUCCUUCAAUUAAAAAUAAAUUUUAUAAAAACUAAAAAAAUAUUUUAAAUUAAUGUAUUGAAUGAAUUGUUUUUUUUCUUUAAAUACAAUAGAGUGAGACCUCCAAGACUCUGCUCCAAGCAGCAUCUCAUAAUGGAUAAUAGAGUUCAGAUACACCUGAAUUCGAAUCCUUUUAAGCUAUAACCAGUAAUUUGAGCCAAUUACUUUAUUUACUUAUUUAUUACUUAUUUAUUUUGGCCAUGUCCCACAGCACAUCUGGGAUCUUAGUUUUCCAACUGAAACUGCAUCCCAUGCAGUGGAAGCUCAGAAUCUUAACCACUGGACCACUAGGGAAGUUCCUCAAUUACCUUACUUUUAAGACAGUAUUUUCAGCUUUAACUUAGAGAUAAUAAUAUUUUCCUCAUAGGGAUGUUACAAGAAAAUAGACAAUUAUAUAGAGGGCAUGCACAGUGCCUGACAUAGUCAUGAUUCUCUAUUACUGGUAGACAUUAUCAAACUAGAAAUAAAGGUUCUUUUUCAUAAGAUACAACAUGUUAUACAUUUUCUAACAGCAAAACUCCACCAUUAACCUCUGCAUGGAGCCAUGAUGGAUACAAGAUUAAACAGAUUAAUGUAUUUAGAGGAUAUUGCCCUUACUUAAAUGGAUAUAAAAUAGCCUUUGGCAACCCCUAAAUAAGGGUUUUUUGGUUAUUGACUAGUAUCAGCUCUCAAGAAAACGAAGGCUUUUCCUCCACAACUCAGCAGCAUCAUAUUUGCAAUAUUAUUAACCUCAUUAGAGAAAAGAAAAAUCUGGUUCUCUUAGAAUUGUCUAGAACUAUUCUCUUUAAACUUGCAGUCUCUUAAAUUUAGUAUUUUGCUAACUAUUUUAGAUAUGGUUUUAACAUAGCCCCUGUAAAGAAGAAAGAGAUUGAUUAAUUUGCUGCUGACAAGAGUUCACAUUCUUUUUGUUUUUCUCAGAGAAUGCAUCUGCUUCCUAUUCGGAACAUGGUUCCACUUUUACAACCUAAUUGCGCUAGUCUACACCGCUGUGCUAUUUUCUGAGUCUGAGCCUAUGUUUUAGGCCAAUCAUCACAGAGUCCGGGAAGUGUAGACUUGGAAAUUGAAGGUUGCACAGAUACAUAGGACUGGAUGUUUAUGCAUAUAUAUACAGAUACAUAGCACUGGCAGCAUAGCUGCUUCAUAUUGUGUAAGCAUGGGGUUAUGCAUUUUAGACUUGUCCUCACAAUUUCCUGAGAUAGGUCAGGAUUAUUGUCUCCAUAUGAUGUGUGAUAUUUGUCAUCUAAUAAUAAGCGGUUGAAUGAUUUAAGCACUUUCUUUGGCUUUAAACUUAAUUUGCUCUUUUCACUGGAUCUUGGGCUAAAUAGUUAGAAUAUUUUGUCCAGAUGUAUAAACAGAGAUUUUUAACUAUUCAGGCUUCAACUUAAGGCUCUAUUAAGUUUAACUACUAAAAUAUCAUGAUGAGUAGUAAUUAAAUUAACAUCCAUGAAACACUAUAGUCAAUGAGAUACAAGUUAAAGCAAACUUUUCAGAUGCAGAAGCUAAAUUCAAAGUAAUAUCCCCUUUUCUCCAGGUUAAAAUCAUGAAUUAAAGUUUUGUUGCAAUAUCAUUUCAUUCUGUAGAAAAUCAUCACAGUGGUAUCAAAUUGAACAAUGUUGUUUAGUCACUAAGUUAUGUCAGACUAUAAUCCUCCAGGCUCCUCUGUCCAUGGGAUUUCCCAGGCAAGAACACUGAAGUGGAUUGCCAUUUCCUUCUCCAGGGGAUCUUCCUGACCCAAGAAUUGAAUCCAUAUCUCCUGCAUUGGCAGGUGGUUUUUUUUUUACCGCUGAGCCACCAGGGAAGCCCAAUUUAACAAUACCCCAUCAUAUAUUGGAACUAGGAGGUUUUGAGAGAUUAAACUUUUGAAAGAAUCUGUAUAUUUGAGCUUGGUACACAUGGUUGAAAUUUUGAGCUUCUGUUUCUUCUCUCUAGACACCAAAUCUUUAAUUAGCAACUUGCCUGAUUGCUUCUUCUGCUUAGCAUAGGAAAACCUUUCUGCAACAUUUAGUAGGAUAGACAAAUCCUCCUUCCCAACCAAAUCAUCAACCUAAAGAUUACAGAAAGCAAAACUGUUCAAGCUUAUCUUGUCAAGUUCUCUCUUGUGAAAUUUGAUCUAAUUUAUUAUAAUUCUAGAUUCACUGAUAAUAUACUAAAUAUGCAAGCACUAAACAUUUAUUAAAAUAAGUUCCUAACAUGUUCUACCAGAAUGGAAACUUUCAUACAUCGGAAAUACAGUCUCAAUGUGAUUAUUUUACAAGUGAACAGAAGCAUUCUGAUAUAUGAUUUAACUCUGUUGAGGUCACUUAACUGAUAAGCUGCAGGUUAGAAUUUUAAAUCUAGGGUCUCUAAUGUCAAGGCCAGCAUUUAUUUGGUUAUACUAUACUUGACUCAUAAACUAUAAGAUUUAAUAGGAUUUUGGAAAAAAUGUAUUUUCUUCAUUAGUCUUGGUCUUCUCCCUGUUCAGCGGUUGAAAACAAUGAUCCAAUUAUUAGUAAGCUCAUCUAAGGGCAGGGACCAGGUCUUCUGCCCCUCUGUAUAUUUUCAGCAUCUAACACAGUGUUCUGCAUGAGUGGAAAUCCAAUAAGUGUUGACUCAGAUAGACAGAAAUCAUUCCUUAAACCAAAUGUAUGCCAAACCUCAGAUUGUUGUCCCCACAGAACAUGUCUAAGUUUCCCAGAAAUAGAAAUACUCAUUCAAUCUAUUGCAAGGUUUCCUGAUUCUGUCUUAUUUCAAUGUGUUAAGUUUCUUUUUUCCUUUUUCACUAUAGCACGAGGAAAUUUUUUGGCAAAUAUGUUGGAUUUCCUCUAAGAAAAACCAACAUUAGCCAUGAAAAUAUUCCUAUGAUCAUGAUACAAUAUCAUAUUUCUUUCUUUAUAUUUGGAGAUUAAGACAAUAUUAAUAAAGCUACAGUAAAACUUGUUACAGCAUGAUAAUCAAACGUGUUUGUUCUUUGUACUAUACUAUUCUAUAUAGUGUGGUUUUCUGUGUACUGUAGUAUACAAAAUGGAAAACUAGAAUACUAAAAUUCACAAUAACUUUUACAAAGAAAAAUCUUGGGCAAUAAUUGACAAGGUAAUCUUUACUUUUACAAAACAUACUCAUGAUAUGAAUCCUCUACAAUAUUAUUUUCAGUUCAGUUCAGUUCAGUCACUCAGUUGUAUCCUACUCUUUGUGACCCCAUGGACUGCAGCACACCAGGUUUCCCUGUCCAUCACCAACUCCUGGAGCCUACUCAAACUCAU